UACGUAGGGGGCAAGCGUUGUCCGGAUUUAUUGGGCGUAAAGAGCGUGUAGGCGGCCACACAGGUCAGCUGUGAAAACUCGAGGCUCAACCUCGAGACGUCGGUUGAAACCGUAUGGCUAGAGUCCGGAAGAGGAGAGUGGAAUUCCCGGUGUAGCGGUGAAAUGCGCAGAUAUCGGGAAGAACACCCAUGGCGAAGGCAGCUCUCUGGGACGGUACUGACGCUGAGACGCGAAAGCGUGGGGAG
rnacentral:rRNA from 1 species